rnacentral:rRNA from 1 species
CGGGGGGAGCAAGCGUUGUUCGGAUUACUGGGCGUAAAGGGCGCGUAGGCGGCACUGCAAGUCAGUUGUGAAAUCUCCGGGCUUAACCCGGAAAGGUCAACUGAUACUGCAGGGCUAGAGUGCAGAAGGGGCAACUGGAAUUCUCGGUGUAGCGGUGAAAUGCGUAGAUAUCGAGAGGAACACCUGCGACGAAGGCGGGUUGCUGGGCUGACACUGACGCUGAGGCGCGAAAGCCAGGGAGCGAACGGG